UUCAAUUUGGGACAGAUUGGUAAGACUUUUUUGAACAUUGCGCUUCUGGGUUUUCUUUGGUUUCACUUUGGUGAUCUGGAUAAUGCUGCAUUUGUCCAUUCACAGUUUAGAAUUCAUUGUAGUAUGUAAAGUUUGAAUUUUGCUUAAUAGAAGUUAGCCUUGGAAUGAAAUGGUUUAGUUGAUCUCAUUAUUGCAGGAAUUUUGGAGUUAUUGUUUUUAAUCUAUUUUUUGGUCAACUAGGG
rnacentral:misc_RNA from 1 species